rnacentral:rRNA from 1 species
ACGGCUCAGUAACACGUGGAUAACCUGCCCUAAGGAAGGGGAUAACCUCGGGAAACUGAGGAUAAUACCCUAUAGGUUACAGACGCUGGAAUGCCCUGUAACCGAAAGUUCCGGCGCCUUAGGAUGGAUCUGCGGCCGAUUAGGUUGUUGUUGGGGUAACGGCCCAACAAGCCGAUAAUCGGUACGGGUUGUGGGAGCAAGAGCCCGGAGUUGGAUUCUGAGACAUGAAUCCAGGCCCUACGGGGCGCAGCAGGCGCGAAAACUUUACAAUGCGGGAAACCGUGAUAAGGGAACCCCGAGUGCCUGUAUAUGCAGGCUGUCCAGGUGUCUAAAAAACACCUGAAGAAAGGGCCGGGCAAGACCGGUGCCAGCCGCCGCGGUAAUACCGGCGGCUCGAGUGGUGGCCACUUUUAUUGGGCUUAAAGCGUUCGUAGCUGGGUUGUUAAGCCUCUUGGGAAAUCUGACGGCUCAACCGUCAGGCGUCCAAGGGAUACUGGCAAUCUUGGAACCGGGAGAGGUGAGGGGUACUUCGGGGGUAGGAGUGAAAUCCUGUAAUCCUCGAGGGACCACCUGUGGCGAAGGCGCCUCACCAGAACGGCUUCGACAGUGAGGGACGAAAGCUGGGGGAGCAAACCGGAUUAGAUACCCGGGUAGUCCCAGCCGUAAACGAUGCGCGUUAGGUGUAUCGGUGACCACGAGUCACCGAGGUGCCGAAGGGAAACCGUGAAACGUGCCGCCUGGGAAGUACGGUCGCAAGGCUGAAACUUAAAGGAAUUGGCGGGGGAGCAC